rnacentral:rRNA from 1 species
AUUGAACGCUGGCGGCAGGCCUAACACAUGCAAGUCGAGCGCGCGGCGGACGGGAGAGUUAUGUAUGGGACUCUGCGCGAUAGAGGGGGAUAACUACUGGAAACGGUGGCUAAUACCGUAAACUAUCGUAUGCACCCAUAUGGGAUUCGCUAGUAGGUGGGGUAAGGGCUCACCUAGGCGACGACCUCUAGCUGGUCUGAGAGGAUGACCAGCCACACUGGAACUGAGACACGGCCCAGACUCCUACGGGAGGCAGCAGUGGGGAAUAUUGCACAAUGGGCGCAAGCCUGAUGCAGCCAUGCCGCGUGUAUGAAGAAGGCCUUAGGGUUGUAAAGUACUUUCAGCGGGGAGGCGUUACCCGCAGAAGAAGCACCGGCUAACUCCGUGCCAGCAGCCGCGGUAAUUC